rnacentral:lncRNA from 1 species
UCUUGCAGCGCAAAAGCUUUUUAGGUUCUCCAAACCUUUAAGCUCUAGAUUCCUUAGUUGUGAGAGCACAAUAUUAUCGUUAGGUUCUACUCCUUCACCACCUUCUUCUUCCCCUUUCUUCGAGAUUAUCAUUUCCAUGUCAGGACAACGGGAAAUGAAAAGUUCUUGAAGAUUCUGUAACCGUGAGACCAUAUUUGAUUGAAAAACAUUCACCAAAUUAUCACAUUCGCGGACUAUCACGUGCCUCAGCUGGAAAAAUGAAUUUGCUGGAAGCAUUUUCUUGUCCCAUACAUCUAUUAUUUGCGAACAUCUGUCAAUUUCCAACCACUUCAAAGCAGGAAAUUCAACCUGCAAUGUAUAUUAUGUAGCUGAAAAAUAAACUUUCCCAAAACAUAUGAGUCACAGGUCAGCGAUACCCAACAAUACUAACUGAAGCACUAUGAAUAUGGUAAUCACAUAAUACCAUAAUAAGAUGCUUAUAAGGUACAUAAUAUUUUGAUAUAAAUAGCCAAUGCUGUCCAUAAUCAAAAUUUUCAUUGCUUGGAUGGCACACUGGAAGUGGUAUAUAGAUAUAUAUAUAUAUAUAUAGAGAGAGAUGUAAAUUGAGGAGUUAAAGAGGCUAUUUGACUAGUGUAUUUCAUAUAUAUAUAUAUAUAGAUAGAUAGAUAGAUAGAUAGAGAGAAAGAGAGAGAGAGAUGUAAAUUGAGGAGUUAAAUAGGCUAUUUGACUAGUGUAUUUCAUAUGUAAAUAUUUUUUUUAGGGUGCAUGUUUUUUUAAAGCUAAUUUGUUUCUUUAAAUUUUGAGUUUUUUCAUCUUUAAUGAACAUUUUUAACUAUUUGAUCAAAAUUUUAUAUUUUUUUGGUUCCUCUUGGAGAGAGAAACUAAAAAUGUAUAAAUAUUAUUCCAAUUUAAAAAAAGAUCCUCUAAAGUCGAAAAAUUACAUUAUUGUUUUUAAAAACUAUAAUUUGAUUACGUAUUCUUUUAAAAAGUAAUGCUUCAUUUAUAGAUAUUGGGCAUAAAUUGGGACUCGGACCACUCACAAGGAAUUGGUCUCAUAGUGGGGCCAUUCACCUCUGGUAAGUAGUUUGUGUACAAAUUUGUGCGUACGAUUCUUUUUUAUUUCAUCUCGUGAUUUGGCUGUUCUACCACAUUAUAACCAUGAUAUUAUAUUUUAUCUCAGUUAUUAUGGACAGUAGCUUACUAAUAUAUAAAUACUAGCGAAUCCCCGCCAUCUCAUAUGUAAUUUUGUUAUAGUAAAGAAAUAUUUAUGUGAUGUGGUCACAAUAUUGGUCAUUAGAAUAAAAAAAAUAGUGAAUAAGAAAAUGUUGUUCCUUAAUUAUAUGCAUAAAUAUGUAUAUCUAUGGAUGCAUCAGUUUUUGCAUGCUCUCCGAUUGCCCAGGGGAACAAAAAGAUGCAUGGAAUUCUUACCUCGUGGUUGAAUAGGAGCCCUGCUUCCGAUCUUGUAGUGAAAAAGCUUUUUAGGUUAUUCAAACUACCAAGAUAUAGAUUCCUUAGUUGUGGGAGCACAAUAUUAUCAUUAGGUUUUGCUUCUUCAUCACCUUCUUCUUCCCCUUUCUUCGAGAUUAUCACUUCCAUGUCAGGACAAUUGGAUAUGAAAACUUCUUGAAGAUUCUGCAACUGUGAGACCAUAUUUGAUUGAAAAACAUUCACCAAAUUAUCACACCUGCAGACUGUCAUGUGCCUCAGCUGGAAAAAUGAAUUUGCUGGAAGCAUUUUCUUAUCCCAUACAUCUGUUAUUUGUGAACAAUCGUCAAUUUUCAACGUCUCCAAAGCAGGGAAUUCAACCUGCAAUGUAUAUCAUAUAGCUGUAAAAUAAACUUUCCCGAAACAUACGAGUCCCAGGUCAGCGAUACCAAACAACACUAACUGAAGCACUAUGAAUAUGGUAAUCGCAUGAUACCAUAAUAAAAUGUUGAUGAGGUACAUAAUAUUUUUAUAGAAAUAGCCAAUACUAUCCAUAAUCAAAAUUUUCAUUGCUUGGAUGGCACACUAGAACUGGUAUAUAUAAAGAGAGAGAAAGAGAGGAAGACAGAUGUAAAUUGAGGAGUUUAGAGGCUAUUUGAGUGGUGUAUUCCAUACAUAAAAAUUGUUUUACCCCUUGAUGAAAAGAAAAAUUAUAUUUAAUAUUAUAUAAAAAGUUGAAAAAAUUGGAUUGUCCAACUUUUUGAUUUUUUAGGCCCAUAUGUGUAUAUUUGAUUUUUUAGGGUUUAGUUUUUUAUUUCCAAAAGAUGAUCUUAAUAUCCCAUUAAAAAUGAAUGAUUUGUAUACCUAUCUAAAGCAAAAGGUGCAUGGAAUUCUUACCUUGUGGUUGAAUAGGAACCCUACUAAUUCAGAUCUUGUAGUGCAAAAGCUUUCUAGGUUCUCCAACCAUUUAAGCUCUAGAUUCCUUAGUUGUGGGAGCACAAUAUUAUCAUUAGGUUCUGCUCCUUCAUCACCUUCUUCUUCCCUUUCCUUCGAGAUUAUCACUUCCAUGUCAGAACAACAAGAUAUGACAAUUUCUUGAAGAUUCUGUAACCGUGAGACCAUAUUUGAUUGAAAAACAUUCACCAAAUUAUCACACUUGCGGACUUCCAUAUCCCUCAGCUGGAAAAAGGAAUUUGCUGGAAGCAUUUUCUUGUCCCAUACAUCUGUUAUUUGCGAACAUAAGUUAAUUUCCAACCUCUCCAAAGCAGGGAAUGCAACCUGCAAUGUAUAUAUGUAGCUUUAAAAUAAACUUUCCCGAAACACGAGUCCAAAGUUCAGCGAUACCAAACAACAUUAACUGAAGCACUAUGACACUAACUGAAGCACUGUGAAUAUGGUAACCGCAUAAUACUAUAAUAAGAUACUGAUGAGGUACAUAAUAUUUUGAUAGAAAUAGCCAAUGUUGUCCAUAAUUAAAAUUUCCAUUGCUUGGAUGGCACAUUGGAUGUAGUAGAGCGAGAGAGAUGUAAAUUGAGGAGUUAAAAUAGGCUAUUUGACUGGUGUAUUUCAUACGUAGAUAUUUUUUUUAAGGUGCAAGUUUUUUUAAAGCUAAUUUUGUUUCUUCAAAUUUUGAGUUUUUUCAACUUUAAUGAACACUUUUAACUAUUGGAUCAAAAUUUUAUCUUUUUUGGUUCCUCUUGAUGAGAGAAAACUAAAAAUAUACAAAUAUUAUUCCAAUUUAAAAAAAAUCCUCUAAAGUUGAAAAAUUUACAUUAAUGUUUUUAAAAACUAUAAUUUAAUUACUUAUUCUUUUAAAAAGCCAUGGUUUAUUAAUAGAUAUUGUGCAUAAAUUGGGACCCGGGCCACUAACAAGGAAUUGGUCUCAUAGUGGGGCCAUUCACUAUGAACUAACCUCUAGUAAGUAGUUUGUGUUCAAAUUUGUGAAUACGAUUUUUUUAUUUAUUUUAACUCGUGAUUUGACACGUCCUAUCACAUUAUAACCAUGAGAUUAUAUUUCAUCUCAGUUAUUAUUGACAAUCGCCUCCUCAUAUAUGAAUACUAGAGAAUCACCACCUCAUAUGUAAUUUUGUUAUCGCAAAGAAACAUUUACGUAAUGUGGUCACAAUAUUAGUCAUUAGAAUAAAAAAAAUAGUGAAUAAGAAAAUGUUGUGAAAUAUUAAUGAUCUUUAUAUGCAUAAUUAUGUAUAUUUAUGGGUGCAUCAGUUUUUGCAUGCUCUCCGAUUGCCCAGGGGAACGAACUGGUGCAAUGAAUUCUUACCUUGUGGUUGAAUAGGAGCCCUUCUUCGGAUCUUGUAGUGCAAAAGCUUUUUAGGUUCAACAAACCUUCAAGCUCUAGCUUCCUUAGUUGUGGGAGAACAAUAUUAUCGUUAGGUUCUGCUCUUUCAUCACCUUCUUCUUCCCCUUUCUUUGAUAUUAUCACUUCCAUGUAAUAACAAUUGAUUAUGACAACUUCUUGAAGAUUCUGUAACCGUGAGACCAUAUGUGAUUGAAAAACAUUCACCAAAUUAUUACACCUGCGGACUUCCAUGUCCCUCAGCUGGAAAAAUGAAUUUGCUGGAAGCAUUUUCUUGUCCCAUACAUCUGUUAUUUGCGAACAUAAGUUAAUUUCCAACCUCUCCAAAGCAGGGAAUGCAACCUGCAAUAUUAUGUAGCUGUAAAAUAAACUUUCCCGAAAUACAUGAGUCUAAGUUCAGCGAUACCAAACAACACUAACUGAAGUACUGUGAAUAUAGUAACUGCAUAAUACCAUAAUAAGAUGCUGAUUAGAUACAUAAUAGUUCGAUAGAAAUAGCCAAUACCAUCCAUAAUCAAAAUUUUCAUUGCUUGGAUGGCACACUGGAAGUGAUAUAUAUAUAUAUAUAUAUAUAGAUAGAUAGAGAGAGAGAGAGAGAGAGAGAGAUGUAAAUUGAGUUAAUAGACUGUUUGAGUGGUGUAUUCCAUACAUAAAAAUUGUUUUACCCCUUAAUGAGAAGAAAAAUUAUAUUUGUUAUUAUAUAAAAUGUUAAAAAAAUUGGAUUGUCCAACUUUUUGAUUUUUUAGGCCCAUAUGUGUAUAUUCGAUUUUUUAGGGUUUAGGUUUUUAUUUCCAAAAGAUGAUCUUAAUAUCCCGUUAAAAAUGAAUGAUUUGUAUACAUAUCUAAAGUAAACGUAUAAUUUAAAUAUGAACAUGUGGAAGAUUGACUUUUUGAUAAAAAUAGUGGAAUUUUUAAAGAAAAAGAAUAAUUUAAAUAUGGAAAUGUGAAAGAUGGAGAGGAGUAAAGAAAAUUAUUUUGAGGGUGUCGACGUGGAAUUUUGGUUAUAUUUUAACUUUUUGGUAAAAAUAAAAGAAUUGACAUGUGGCACUACUCGUGCUUAGUAUAUAGUAUAGAUGUAAACAUAAUUAAUAUGGGAAAAUUUAUCCAUUAACCAAUAAACAAUACUCAGGCCAGAUAAUUACUUAUUGGUAAUAUGAAUCACAUAGAAAUCUUUAGAUUUAGGACCCAUAUUUAAUUAAUCCCUUUUUUAAUACUCUGUAAUGGAAUGAUCUAGAUUUAGAUUGUGCCAUGUAGAACAUUUGUCAAAAUUACCUCGUUAUUUUAUUAUAUAGACUAGCGAAUUAAUCGUGUGGGACUUUAUUUAUUCCAAGUUACAGAGACCGAAGUGAAACUUUACCUAACCUACAGGACCCAUAGUGAAAUUGACUCGUUUUCCUACAUAUGAAAAGCACAUUUUAGAAAAGAUUCUAUGUAAAAUUAAAAGGAUUUUGAUAAAGCAUAUAUACCUUUUCAUUGAAAAGAGAUUGUACGUGGAUGGAAGAAUUCCCCAUGGUGGUUGCCGUUUUCUCUAAUUUGGGAUAGAAGCUUGUGAGGUUUGGCAGAUCCGACAAUUUGAUAUGCUUUAAUUUACUAAAAUAUAUGAGCUCAUCUUCAUCUUCUUCUCCUUCGAAUCCAACUAUUUCCUCCAAGAUUUCACAGUCACUUACAUGCAGUUGUUGGAGUUGAAAAAGUUCUCUUACGAUCGAUAGGGAGAAGAGAUAUUCUAAUCUACAAUCUCGAAUAAUUAAUGUCGUUAACUUGUUGAAGGACCUUGACUGUUGCAUAGACCAUUCCGGUUUGUCAAGCAGGGGGUCCACCAAGUCAUAACAAGAUUUAACUUUAAGAUACUUCAAGUUCAAAAACCCUUCACCACCUCUGUUAUGAAGAACGUUCACCAAACCUCUCACUCCCGAGAGAUGCAGCUCAUCAGCUUUCUCCACCAAGGUGUUGAGCUCGUCUUUUAAGGGAAUCCCUUCAAGUUUCAAGAACCUCUCCGAAUUCUCUCCGUAUCCAUAAAACUGACUGUCAACUAUGAAUAUUUUGAACCUGACCAAGUUCUCAAAAUUCAGGGAGAACUCCUUGGGAAAUAACAUGUCUUUUGGGAUAAGAACAUGUAAAGUGGUUAACCGAGUCAACGAACUUAGCUCAUCAAGGUUCACGUUGCCGCUUGUUUUCUUCCUGUCCCAUUGGUUAAAUGCACUCGAAAAGUAUAAUUCUUCCAGGAAGGUUAAAUUGGAUAUGACACCGUGUGGAAUGACCCUGAGAUGGACACAAUCUCUCAGAUCUAACAACCGGAGACGAGUCAAACGUCUUAUCUCUAGUGGCAACACCUUGAUAUCAGAACCCUGAAGGCUAAGCAUUUCGAGCGUACACGGUAGAUCUUUGAGUACAGCUAUGUCUGACAACUUACACUUAUUCAGACAUAACAUCCGAAGGUUUUCCAAUUUUGGUAAUGAUGAAGGGAGUGGUGGCAUACACAUUUCCUUAAAAUCUAUAACUUCAAGUUCCUUCAUCCCAUUAAAAAAACCGUCUGGGACUUUAAGCAAGCUGCGAUUAUUAGAUUCCAACAUUAAGAUGCGGAGUUUUGGACAUGCCAACUCAUUGGGGAGCUCACCCAUACUUUGAGAUCGUAUUGAUAUUGCCGAGUAAGACUUGUACUCGCGUCUCUUCGGCCACUCUGGGAAAACACCGUGUUCCACGAGAUAUGCUUUUGCAAUCGAGAUACCCACAUCUCUUAUGAUGUCGUGCAUUUUGACGACAUCCUCAACCGUGUCGUCUAACAGCAAAUAACGAGUUUUAAGGGUACCAACGGCUGUACACACAGCAUCUCUUGCUUCUUCAAGUGCAUAUGGAUUUUGAUGAAGCAAGCUCGUUGCCGUGCAAAGUCUUGUCAAAUCAUCGAUUGAAAUCUCGGCAUUUUCGGGAAACAAGCAGCAGAGCAAGAAACAUUUUUUUGCGUCCGAGGACUUUAACUGUUCAUAGCUCAACUUUAAGGAGUUAUAAACAGGACCAAUCUCUUCAAUUUCAUUAAUCAUGGACUUUUUCAGCUUAACAAGUGCAGUUUUCCAGGCAGAAAUUUUCUUAUCUUUUAAAGCCGCUCCAAGCGCAUUUAUAGCAACCGGCAAGCCUUCACAUUCUUUGCACACUUCUUCUGCUACGAGACGUAGUUCAGGAGAGUCAACGGAAUUUCCCGCCACCUUCUUGAAUAGGGCCCAUGCUUCCAGCUCUGGUAGUAGUGGCAGUGCAAAAUCUCUAUCCACUACCUUAUUUAUCUCAGACGUUAUCACAACUUUGCAAUCUUUGUUUCGAGACGUUAUCACAACUUUGCAACCUUUGUUUCCAUCUGUGAUAGGAAUACCUAUAUCCUUCAAGUUCACUUCUUUCCAAAUAUCAUCCAAUAUGACGAGAUUUUUCUUCCCAUUGUUCAAUCGAUGCCACAAUUUAUAUGAUAUUUGCUUUUCCGUUGUUGCAUUGAUCAGAUCUAAAUUCAAGGAGCAAACGAGCUGUGAUUGAAUUUUGCUCACGAUUGCAUCUUUAGAGACAACUGCCAUCACAACUUCAUCGAAAGUCCUGUCUUCUUUCAGCUGUUUGCUGACCUCUUUGACUAAUGUUGUCUUACCAAUGCCUCCUGUUCCGUGCACGCCAAUCAUGGUCACCUUGGAAUCUUUUAAUGCAUCGACAACAGCUUUGAAUACUGAUGCUCUUGAAUCAACGAUCUCGUAAUCAUAGUUGCAUGGGAAUGGAAGUUCUGGAGGUGGCGG